UUGGUAUUCCUUAGUAAAGUAUCUAUAUUAGAAUCUCUGGACAAGUGGGAGCGUCUCACUGUAGCUGAUGCAUUGGAACCGGUACAGUUUGAGGAUGGGGAAAAGAUUGUGGUCCAGGGAGAGCCAGGAGAUGAGUUCCUCAUUAUCUUGGAGGGCACAGCUGCAGUCUUACAGCGUCGAUCAGAAAAUGAAGAAUUUGUUGAAGUGGGCAGACUGGCACCUUCUGAUUAUUUUGGUGAAAUAGCUCUGUUGAUGAACCGUCCCCGUGCUGCCACAGUUGUUGCUCGUGGCCCGUUGAAAUGUGUAAAGCUUGAUCGACCCCGAUUUGAACGUGUCCUGGGUCCGUGCUCGGAUAUUCUCAAGCGAAACAUCCAGCAGUACAACAGUUUUGUAUCGCUGUCUGUCUGAAACCUUCCUCCCUAUCCAAAACAUGCUUCACGAAUGCAGACUGCUUUAUUACCCUUAUGCAGAGCCACACCGCCACUGGCAUUUGCAGCUUCCUGUCUGUUUAAAAAACUAAAAAAAAAAAGAAAAAAUU